rnacentral:rRNA from 1 species
UACGUAGGAGGCAAGCGUUGUCCGGAGUUACUGGGCGUAAAGCGCGCGCAAGCGGUCCUUUAAGUCUGAUGUGAAAGCCCACGGCUCAACCGUGGGGGGUCAUUGGAAACUGGGGGACUUGAGUGCAGAAGAGGAAAGCGGAAUUCCACGUGUAGCGGUGAAAUGCGUAGAGAUGUGGAGGAACACCAGUGGCGAAGGCGGCUCUCUGGUCUGUAACUGACGCUGAGGCGCGAAAGCGUGGGGAGCAAACAGG